rnacentral:rRNA from 1 species
GAUGAACGCUGGCGGCGUGCCUAACACAUGCAAGUCGAACGGAGUCCAGCCUUUAAGACCUUCGGGUCAAAGAGGGGAAGACUGAGUGGCGGACGGGUGAGUAACACGUGGGCAACCUGGCUCAUAGAGGGGGAUAACAGAGAGAAAUUUCUGCUAAUACCGCAUAAGCACACACUGCCGCAUGGCAGAGGGUGAAAAGAGAAUCGCUAUGAGAUGGACCCGCGUCUGAUUAGCCAGUUGGCAGGGUAAGAGCCUACCAAAGCGACGAUCAGUAGCCGAUCUGAGAGGAUGAACGGCCACAUUGGGGCUGAGACACGGCCCAAACUCCUACGGGAAGCAGCAGUGGGGGAUAUUGCACAAUGGGGGGAACCCUGAUGCAGCGACGCCGCGUGAGUGAAGAAGUAUUUCGGUAUGUAAAGCUCUAUCAGCAGGGAAGAUAAUGACAGUACCUGAAUAAGAAGCCCCGGCUAACUACGUG